rnacentral:lncRNA from 1 species
UUGAAGGCAGUAUGCUUGGUAAAAGUCAUCGCCAUUCUCUAAUCUUGAGUACCCAGGGACACGAUACACUGCGGAAGGCUGCAGGGACCUCUGCCCAGGAAAGCCAGGUAUUGUCCAAGGUUUCUCCCCAUGUGAUAGCCUGAGAUAUGGCCUUGUGGGAAGGGAAAGACCUGACCGUCCCCCAGCCAGACACCCGUAAAGGGUCUGUGCUGAGGAGGAUUAGUGAAAGAGGAAGGCCUCUUUGCAGUUGAGAUAAGAGGAAGGCAUCUGUCUCCUGCUUAUCCCUGGGAAUGAAAUGUCUCAAUGUCAAACCCGAUUAUACGUUCUAUUUACUGAGAUAGGAGGAAACCGCCUUAUGGCUGGAGGUGAGAUAUGCUGGCGGCAAUACUGCUCUUUAAUGCACCGAGAUGUUUGUGUACAUGCACAUCAAGGCACAGCACCUUUCCUUAAACUUAUUUAUGACACAGAGACCUUUGCUCACAUGUUUUCCUGCUGACCCUCUCCCCACUGUUACCCUAUUGUCCUGCCACAUCCCCCUCUCCGAGAUGGUAGAGAUAGUGAUCAAUUAAUACUGAGGAAACUCAAGAGACCAGGGCUGGCGCCCGUCCUCCGUAUGCUGAGUGCCGGUCCCCUGGGCCCACUGUUCUUUCUCCAUACUUUAUCUCUGUGUCUUAUUUCUUUUCUCAGUCUCUUGUCCCACCUGACGAAAAACACCCACAGGUGUGGAGGGGCUGGUCCCCUUCAGUUCUAAAGCCCACUUGGCUCAUUCCACAUGUGGCAGUAUUUUUUUACCAUGUGAACACCAAAAUGAAUUCGUGGCAAAUGCACCUCCCGUUUAUUGCAGGCUUGCAUGAAGGAAAUGAUUUCCUAUGAUUCUGCUUACUGCUUAAAAAAAUUAAUCAAGUUUUCUGCCUGACAAGUAAGUAACUGUGUUUAUUUUCUGUUCAUGACUAGGCAAAAGCACAUAACAUCCCUAUGUGUCCAGUGAGUUAUGAAAGUUCUUUAAAAGCAGUGCAUUAGCCAUGGAUCUUCCUGCUAUCUCUCCCCUGCAGUUUGCUGAGAAUGUUUUCCAUAAUAGAACCAGGCUUAUCACAAUUUAUUCCUGCCUUACUGACUACUAGGUCAUUGCCUAGAGUUCUGAACCCCGGGUUGGAAGCUGUUAAAAUUUAAUAAAAACUACUUUAGAGAAAAUGGUCACUCUCCCUUCAUCCUCUCUCACCUCCCUCUGGCUCCUUGACCCCCAUCCCUCCCUGAAGAUGCUGGUCGCUAAGGCUCUUUUAAUAGACUUCCUUAUUGUCCCAGGUUUCUGGGAAUUCAUCAGUGAUAGCUGCCAUGGGUAUGUUGAGAGGAUACUAUAUGCUGAGAACUCCACAUCUGAUAUUUUACUUAAUUUCCCCACAAUAUUAUGAAGUAGAUGUUAUUUUCCCCAUUGUACAAUAAGAGAUGGAAAGCUAGAGAGGCUAAAAGCAGAACAAGAAUUUGAACCCAAAUGCCUGUGACUGUAACCACCAUACAUAUAGCCUACCUGUUUCCAUGUUGUUCUAGCAGGAUCCUUGUUUUCUUCCUUCUUACAGUAAAAUCUGACUGAUCACUGUUGAGUAACGGAUCUUAAUUAGGUCGAGAUGCGGAAGGAGUUUGCUCCUGUAAUUUCAGGAGGUCUUUGCAUAUACCUAUUAUUGCAAAUAGAUUUCGCUUUAUUGGAAAAAGGCUAUCAGUAUUCCCUGGGGACUCUAUUUUUACAGCUGAGACUGCUGCUCUCUAUCAGUCACUAUGAAGUAGAAAUUCUGAUUAUGAUAUCACAUAAGAUUCAAGGCCACUAGUGAUAAAUGUUCAAGAGGAGGUGUGUUCAGCUUUGUGAUACACUAUUGUGAUAAAAAUAUGGCACAGGAUUUUAAAAAUAUGAAAAUGUAAAAGGAAUACAAAUAUGAUAAAUGAUUAUAAGUCUAUGUAUGGAAUUUAAUCUAUUUUUCCUAAAUGCUGACUGUAAGCGGUUUAGCCCAGUGAUAUAAACUGUGCCUGAGAAAGGUCCCAGUCAAUUUCAUGCUGUUCAUGUGCCAUUUAUUUUUACUUUUUAAGUACAUUGGGAAAAUACAUAAGAAAAAAUGUACAUUCAUCUUUUUAAUGAUACUAUAAAAGAUGGUGAACAAGUUAAUCGGAAGAAAAGAAAAACAAUUCAUCUAGACAUUCUUGCAAUGAAUUUUUGCCAAAUGCUUAAUUUUUACUAGAUGCUAGGAGAAUUGGGAAGCCUUAAGUCUGACACAGGAUCCAGAGACAAAAAUUACAAAGUAGUGAGUGCUAUGGUAAGAGUUAAGUAAGAAGGUUGGAUAAGAUGUCCACUACUAGCUCAAUCUUGAAAGCGUCCAGGACACUUGCCUCUGAGACCUAAACGACUGAGUGGGCAUUGAUCAAGAGUGGGAGGUUGUUUCAGGGUCAGCACAUGCAAAGGACAGGCUCCAUUUUAGGAAAAUGAAAGUAGUUCAGUGUUAUUGAAGCUGAUGGUGAGGGAGGAAGUGGCAGAAGAUAAAGGCUGGAAAGAAACAAGUCAAUAAGAAGCCACAAAAAAGUUGUAAGUAGAUGAAUGACAUGAUCCAAUUUGUGCUUUAGGAAGAUUACUUUUGUCUCAGUGUCCAAUAUAGGUGGAGGGAGGCAAAAUGAGAAGCAGAGAGUUAUUUGAUGGUGGAAAGAGAGAGCUGUUCAAACAAACAGGCAAGAUUCAGUGGAGACCUGAACUAGGCAGGUGGCAUCUUGGGUUGCAAGAAAUGGACAGGUACAAAAGAUAUUUAGAAGGACAAGAAGGUAUUUUAGUUGGAUGACGUACAUUUCAAAGGAACAAGGAAGAAGAAUGGUCUGGGAAUAGUAUUGGUGAGCCAGGAGUCUUCAUUUGAGUGGGCUGCAGGGAAAGUUGUGUCCUCAGAAGAUGCCACAUUUCAGUUAUGGUACAAUGGGAGGGAACAUUCACUGUGGCAGUGGAAUCACCAGAGGGCCACAAGUGGAUCAGAUUGGGAAGUGGGAUAAUAUUCCAGCCUGAAUUAGAUUGUACAAUCCCAGGGAGCAGGAAUGAGGAAGGAAAGGGAGUAGAAUAGAGAAAAAGGGGGAGUAAUAUGAGGAUGCAUUAUAGGUCUAACUGCUUCCAGGUAUGACUGAUUGCUCAAUCCCAUAGGACCAUCUUCUAAGAAGUUGUAAUAAUUUAAUCACAGAGAAAAGUGAAGAAUUUAGCCACUGGCUGCAGCCUCCAAUUGGUCAAAGGUUUGUCUCACAGAGCAUGAACCUCCCUGCACCUCCAUAUAACACAUAUUUGAGUGCAACAGGGUUCUUAUAUAAGUAUCAUCAGGGUGGCCCCAGGGAAGGAGGUGAGAAGUUGCAAUAAUGUCAGGUUGCGCUUGCAUGCAAGUGAUCAGAAUAUACCCUAAGAGCAAGUUAUCUCAGUGGCAGCUUGAAUGAAAUCGGUGAGCCAAAGCAUAUAAAUUAGCACAUAAAAGGUGCAUAAUACAGUCCACCUUCUGCACUAUUCAGGGCCACUUUCCCCCAUCAUUAUAUCCAAAUUGCAUACUACAAUAUAGGCCCCCAUUUUUGUGAGAAUAAGUUGUCCUUAUCUAUUCUACAAGAGAGGAAGCACUCGUCCAAUCUGUCACAAGGUCCCCUUCAAGGGAAUGGUCCACCAGAGUCUGAUUGAGGAUAAGUAAGACAAACUUCUGUUCCAUAGCUGAACCUGGAUCUGAAGUCAUAAGUUAUAUUUAUCUCCAACCUCUUCCAGCAAUUCUAUAUUUCCCUCACUAUGGGCCAGCACAUUAGCUAUCUGUGUUGGUCUCCCGGUGGGAUGACACAAACAUUCAUCGUUGAGAGGCUUGAACCUUUAUUUGCCUUAUCCUUUUUGGGCCAUAGUUGUUGCAAUACAAUUACGCAUCAGCUUUUGACAAUACAAUUAUGUAAGUACAAUACAAACUAUGUACAAAUCUGUUAUCGCUGGACACAGGAGCACCAAGAGAUACCCUUGUGAAACCCUUGGGUUCCAGAUGUGUUUCUUCUUGUCCUCACUGGUAACAGCAACUCUAGCUAUUCAGCAGAGUCAGGGGCUAUUACUUUUAAUGAUGUGCUAACUAUUUAUUCCCUGCUGGCCCAUAAGCAUGAGGAGUUCAACUGAUAUUUUCAGCUUCAAAUUCAGGGGACCCUUACAUUUUAUCUGGCAGAAUUAUUCUCUUUCCCAUCCACAGUCACAAUUAAGAUUUCUAAUCCAAUAGAGGCUAAAGUUGCAAGAUGGAAGAUAGUAAACACAAAUUCCGUAAUCACUUGGUUCCCAGUUUUAUAUAAUUGAGCUACUGGGGAUUCAAAACCAUAUAUUGGUCAUUGGCUUAAUGUAUAUGCCAUAUCCUGGAAGAUCACAUUCAACCCUGCUAGAUGUUGUCCCCAAGCUGGGAUCUUAAUGAACCUUUAAUAUGAUUUCUACCAUUCUCUUAGGAUGGCUGCUUCUGGGUGAUGGGGAACAAGGAACAAUUAUUAGAUUCUGUUUCAUGCACUCAUUACCUUGAUUCUUAUAAAACAGUUCCCUUGGUGUGUGGCAAUGCUGUGUGAAAUAUGUGUUGAUAAGUCAAGCAUUCUAAAAACUUUUGGAUGGUAAGCCAGUGGAGGUACUACAGACAAGGAGGGCAAACCCAGGGUCUAUUCACAUUAAGGAUCAAUUCCUACAAGGACAAAUUUCUGUCCUCCCCAACCCCCAGGGUAGAAGAUGUCUAAUUGUAAUCUACCUGAUACCAAGAGACUGGCUGAUCUCCUCAAUCUCUGCUGUUGACAAAUUGAGCAUUCAAGACUACCAUUAGCUAGACUAGAAGGAAUUCAUGCAAACCUUUAUCUCUGCCAUGAGACCACCCUUUUCUUGGGCUCACUGUCCAGCAUAGAAGCAGUCAAUGAGAGAGAGAUGAAGUGACAUACAUGAUGAGGUAGCCUUCCCCACUGGUUGCUGAGAGAACUGUUGGUGGUAGAUGUUCUCUGGUAGGUAGUAAUAGCUGCAAAAUUUGUGUCCAUUUUUAUAGGUCAAUCUAUAUGCCUCAUCCUGUGACAUCAUCAUUCCCCAGUUUUCUAUUUGAUUCCUUCCAGACUCCUCACCAGUUAUUCAUGUCAAGUGGAUGACAAAUUUACUGCUCACCACUUUCCCGCUGGCUAAUUUACUUUAACCGCUGCUCUUUAGAGAUACCACUGAGUGGAUCUAUAAUAUGUCAGCAGUGUAUUUUUGACUAGCAUCUGUUGACACACUUGUGAGCCAGGCAUGAAGUUUUUUUUCAAUCUUCUAUCAGUUGGUCAUAGGGAAUCCCCUAUAAGCCAUAAGUGCAAGAUGAGAUAAAAGGUAUCAGAGUGAUAGAAACAGAUGACAUGCAAAUUUGUGCCACCUCUUUGUGCAAUUUACUCUUGCCUUUUGGACCUGCCUCAGUCCCAUUUCCAGGCACGACAUUCCAUAAUGUAGAUUGCUGCUGUGGCUAACCCAAUCUAUGAUUUAGUGGAUUUAAUCAUACACAGUUGGCUGUAGUUCAGAUAUUUGCUCCUUUCAAAUCUCAUCUUGAAAUUUGAUUUCCAAUGUUGGAGGUGGGCCCUAGUGGGAGGUGUUUGGCCCACGAGGAGUGGAUCCCACAUGAAUAGCUUGGUACCACUCUCAUUAGUGAGUGAGUUCUUGCUCUUUUAGUUUCAAUGACAGCUGCUUUUUAAAGAGUCUGGCACCUCUACUUCUCUCUCUCUCUCCUUCUCUCUCUCUCUCUCUUACUUCCUCUCUUGCCAUGUGAUCUCUGCACAUACUGGCUCCCCUUAGCCUUCCACCAUGAGUGGAAGUAGCCUGGGCCCCUCUGCAGAAACAGAAGCUAGCACCAUGUUUCUUGUACAGUUUGCAGAACAGUGAGACAAAUAAAUUUCUUUCCUUUAUAAAUUACUCAGCCUCAGCUAUUCCUUUAUAGCAAUACUAAAUGGACUCAGAAACAGCUCACACUUGGUGUCUUGUGAUGUUAUAAUUAGGCAUUCAAUCUCUACAAAUAUCCGGUAGCAGGCCAGGAGCUGCAAAAGAAAUUGCAGUCUGCAAAAGCCAGAUAACUCUUUGUCAACUUUGAAGGAGAUUCUCAUUUCCUACAAUUCCUUCAUCAUGGAGAGCUCUAUCACGAUUACAUCUAUUGAGUUUUAUAGUUCAAUAGUCUGGCUCUGCAGAAGGCUCCUGCAGAGCCUUCUGUUAACUAUGGCCCAGGAAAAACUUCCAUAUCUCCCAGAAUAUAGACCAAAGCAGUAUUUUUAAAUGCAGUCUAUUCUUCCACCAAAAUUCAAAAAGGCUCACCAAGCAGUGUACCUCUUUCUUAGUGGUAGGAGUUGCAAGUAGAACAAUGUGUUUAUUUCUUUGUAAGAAUGUCCUAGCAUAUUCUGGAUUGCUGGAUAUCUACUAAGUUGACCAAUAUCAUGGGAACCUGAACUUCAUUGGGUUUAUCACCUACCCUCUGAUAUGCAUGUAUCUUACUGGGUCACCUAGGGUAUUAACAUUUCCAAUAACCAUGACAUCAUCAAUACAGUAGACAAGUGUUAUACCAUGACGUUCUGCAGAAGGCUAAGAUGAUGGAAAUACCUAGCUAUUAUGUUGUGACAGGGAACAGGAUAGUUAACACAAGAGUGAGUAUGUAGAGUUGCCCCUCUAAAUGUAAAGUCAAAUUCCUUUUGAUCAUUUUUGCUGAUGGAAAUCUAGUCAACAAACAUUUUCUGUAAAGGGUCAUACAAUAAAUAUUUUUAGCCACGUGGUUCUGUUAUAAUUAUUCAACUCUGCUUUUGUAGUCUGUGGUCAUAUUUGGCCCAUGAGCUGUAGUUUGCCUACCCCUGACUUAAAAACAAAGUGUUUUCCAGAUUAGUAGCUGCAUAUAAAACGCCAAAGACCAUGUUGAUCUUUUUCAUGAAAGGUACCACAUUUUGUCUCCAAUGACCCAUAUGUUUUUUUCAGGAUACACAUAAACCAACUGAAUAGGGAUAUGAUGAGACCACCACACCUUCAUCCUUUAAAUCUUUAAUGUGUAAUAAAGAUUUACACAUUAAAAGAAUUACACAUUGUGUAAUUCCUUUUAGGAUGCAGAUUGCUUCUUAUUUACCAUAUAGGGCAUGGAUGUGUACAUAGGGGUGUGUGUGUGUGUGCACGCAUUUGUGUAUAUGUAGGAGGAGAAGGAAUUGCAGAAAUUUCAGGGGUUUCCACAGAGCCCUUGCUACCAUGAUGGCCCUUAAUCUACAAGUCGGAGAAACAAUGGGAGGGUUCUGCCAGAUGCUUAAAAUAACUGUGUAUUUGGAGACUAGAAAAAUAACUGAGAAUUUUUGUCCUUGCGAUUGAACAAUGAGAACACAUGGGCACAGGAAGUGGAACAUCACACACCGGGGACAGUUGUGGGGUGGGGGGAGGGGGGAGGGAUAGCAUUAGGAGAUAUACCUAAUGAUAAAUGAUGAGUUAAUGGGUGCAGCACACCAACAUGGCACAUGUAUACAUAUGUAACAAACCUGCACGUUGUGCACAUGUACCCUAAAACUUAAAGUAUAAUAAUAAAAAAAAAGAAAAAUAACUGAGAUAAACUUGAGCUAACAUUUCAUUUAUCACCUAGCUUCCAUAUACCCACUCUAACUGGAAUUCCAUGAUGAAGACUUGAGUCCACUAGCAUCGGAAAACUCGGAUCCCAUAUUUAACAGUGCUCAAAAACAAAUAUACGUACUGCCUUCCCCAGUGUACAAUAGUCUAUCAAUGGCCACAGGUCCCUUUUGGGAAGGAUUACAAGGAAUAUUUC